CAGCACUGUUUCUUAGGGUGUGAAAACAAACAGCCUCCCAACCACAUAGAGAAUAGACAACAGACUAAAGAAAGGAAACCACCAAAGUCCAACUUGGUGAAACAACGAGUUUUAUCAUUGUUACUUCUAGGAAUAUGGGUGAGAGAUUACUUUCAGGAGCAGGAAUGGCUUGAAGACAGCUGCAUCACCAAAAGUUCAUCAUAGUUUUCUCAUGAAAGCUGGAAACUUGGAGCUCACUAUACAGCCAGCAGGCAGCUUGACAGCUUGGCAUGUGGAUCAAAGUUGGUUCAGAUUUGUCUGCAGAACUUCAGGCAGAGGAAAUGAAGCCACUGCAGCCCACAUGGAUACUUGAGUUCCACAGGUUGUCUCUGGCCUGAAACUCACCAUGGUUACCUUUAUCCAACCUUGAAGAGAGAGCUUUUGGAUCUUAGGUUUAUGAAAAAAGAGGAAAAUCAGCUGGCUGUUCAGAGCCACACCAUUCCCUAGGGAGGUCUACAGAUCCAUUGGAAGAUGAGGGUGUUUCACAGCUGUGUGAGAUUUGGAUCCCUUUAAAGCACUGCUUGAUCAACAGCAAAGAGAAACUCAGCAACCAAAAAGGAGUGAGGUCAUGGGAUGUUCAGAAGUUUCCCAGAACCAGCAUAGGGCAGCUUACUUGAUGGGGCUGCACUGACAACAUCCAUGAAUUCUGUCAGCUGACCUUGUCUAAGAUGCCAUUGUGUAUAACAAACAUAUCCAUGUCUUUUCAGACACUGCCAUGGCUGGAGAACAGUAAAACAUAACCCUGGGAGGAGGUGUGUGGGAGGAAAGGCUGUUACAGGAAGCAGAGUCAUAAGGGAAAGGAAGAAUGACUCUGAAUGACUCCUAAGUGCAGACAGUGUUGAGUGUGUGUUCUACAGCCUGCUCUGAGGAGGGUCCAGCCCUCCGUGGUGAGAAGAGUGGAGAGACGCAGCCAGGCAAAAGUCUACCUGCAUGCAUUGUACCUCACACCAUCAUCAAGACAAUGAACACUCACAUUUUUGUAGCUCUGAUUCCUCAGUUCUUGGAUGCUCUUCUAAAGAGAGAAGCAGGUAUGUUGAUUAGACAAACUGUCUAUAUGAGUACCUUGCAGUUUCGCAUCGACAAAACAGGAGUCAGCAAGAAAACUGCAAUACAGGUGGCUGGUGUGGAUGAACCGUUUCCUCUGUAAAGUUUCAUGCAUCCAUACAUGUCAUACUAUGGAUUGUUGAUUUCAUAUCACCCCCCACCCUGUGUGUAUGUGUGUGUGUGUGUGUGCGCGCGCACGAAUGUGCACAUGGAUGUUCAUGUGUGGGUGCCUGUGUGUGGAUAUGUAUGAGGCCCCAAAAUUAAUGAUUAUUCUCCUACCACUUACAGGAUCUAUUGCUGAGUCAGAGCUCACCAUUUUUGACUAGUCUAGAGCUCCUCCGCCAACUCUUGUCUGCCAAGUACUGGCCUUACAGGCUGCCACCACAUCUCCCCAGCAUUUACAAAGGUUCUCAGCACCUGAACUAUAGUCCUCACAAUUGACAGCAGGUAGAUUAUCAAUCUAGCCGUCUCCCUGGCCCACAAUCUCAUUCUUAAUGAGAAUCAAAAGUGCUUCCCAAACUAUUAUUAGGACUUCUUCCCUUCUUUGGGUGGGGGGUCAAGUCAGGGUUUCUCUGUGGCUUUGGAGGCUGUCCUGGAACUAGCUCUUGUAGACUAGGCUGGUCUCGAAUUCAGAGAUCUGCCUGCCUCUGCCUCUCGAGAGCUGCGAUUAAAGGUGUGUGCCACCACUACCUAGCUCCCUUUUAUUUUAUGUUUACUGAGGUAUAUUUAGUAAAAUGACCAAAUUCUAAGUAUAUAUUCAGCUCAAUUGAUUAUAGCAAUGCUCUAUUGCUGCAUAACACAUGUCCAUUCAGCAGAGACUCAAUAUGACCUAAAUACACCAGUCUGUACUCUAUGGGUCAAAGGUCUGGCUCUCCCACUGCUGGAAAGGAAGGUGUCACCAUUGCAUUCUGAUUUGGAUCUCAGGAUCUUUCAAGUUCAAUCAGAUCUUGUCAUGGUGGAAUUGAAACUUUUUUCUUUGGUCUUACUUCAGUGGAGCUACCCCUCAUUUUCCAUUGCUUUAUAGCAUUUUCAAAGCUAGCCCUGGGAACUCUUCCUCCCACUGAAUUCCCCUCACCUUUGAAAUCAACCUGGCCACAUCGAUUAAUCAAAGAGUGAAGGGUGUGUUCGCAGACUGCAAAGGAAUGGAAGAAGAUCUUGGGGGCUCUUGUAGAAUUUUGUCUAUUACUUCUGCACAACUUACGUGAGUAGGAGAGCAGGCUGUGGGCCAUACUAUUCCUUUUUUAGCAUUCAUUGCACAUUCAGUGUAUGGGUAAUUUUUCAAAUUUUAACAAUGUUGUCCCAAUCUGUGGCUUGCCCUUCAAUUUUUUUCAUAGUAGCAUUGGUAAAUGAAAAUGUUUAGGGUCAAUAAUGUCUAAUCUUCAUUUUUCUUAAGUGAAUUAAACCUGAUAUAGUGCUUUGAGUUAUUAAAAACCCAUUGCCUAUACCAAGGACAUGACAAUUUUUUUCCUUCUAGGAACAUUAGACCUUUGGUUUUCAUAUUUGUCUCUUGGACAUCUUAAAUUUUAUUUAUUUUUGUAUGCACUUUGCCAUAUAAGUCCUCUAAUUUAUUUUAUUAUUUGUGUUGGGGAUGAACCUGGAGGCCUUGCACACACUAAGCAAAUGCUGUACCAUUAAGUUCCCCUUACUAUUACAGCUAUUGUAGCAUUGGGUAAAGGUCAGGAUGGUGCUGGGUGAAGGUCCAGAACUAGUCUUGUUUAUUUACUAGCUCAUACUUUAAAAAACUAAUUACUAAUUAUCCUGUUUUUUUAAUGCAAAUACCAGGUUGCUCUGAAAUUUUUUAUCAUACAUGCAUUUGCUUUUGUUCUGCAGUAAAUGCUGUGUUUCCCUCGUAAGAGUUACUUUCAGCUGGUGAUCUGUGGACUGGGCAUCUUUGCCUGUCUAGAGGCCAAGAACUAAGUGGUGUCUCUUGCAUUCCUAUACAUCUUAAAUGCGUUGGGAAUGCCAGGCCCCGGCCCCAUUGUAGGGGACACCGGUAACCAUACCUGCUAGGGGCUGGCUACAUACAGGUAUGCCAGACCACACCAGCAAGGUCAUGGUCAGGGUGAUGUAGGGAAGUUUUAAGAGUGAGGGGUGUGCAUGUGGAACUUCCCUUCUUCCUUUUCAUCUUCGGCUUGCUGUACUUACUCCUGCCCUGCCAGCUGGCUAGGUCGCUCUGUAAGGCAUCUAUCUCCCUAAUAAAUACCCUUAUAUUUUUACCUGACUCUGUAUUGGUAAUUCCCUCAUUACCCCUCCUUACCUGGAUGGUGUUAAUAGCUUUGAUGUUGAAAGAUGAGGUUACAUAUACACAUGAGUCAGAAAGCAGUCAUUUGACUGUACAUGACACUCACUCUUCACUUGUUGUCUAGAUGGCUAUUUCUAUCACAAUUUCAUCGAUUAAAUAAGCAAGACUGCAAAAGAAAAGAACUUACUCAAUUUUGUUGCAUGACACAGCCAGAAUUGAUCUGUACAUAUUUUAAAGUUGCAAAAUAGAAUAGAAUUAUUCAUAACAUAUAGUAUAAGAAGUAUUUAUAUAAGGGACACCCAAUUUACCAACACUUAGGGCAAAAACCGGAACAUCUCCCAGUGCCAGAAACCCCAUGACUCUUCUAACUUAGUCCAAGCAUAUAAUUCUGAAACUGAUGUUCAUGACAACCAACCCUUUAUUAUACUUCAUAUAGUUUACUAUGAUACUUCCAUAACCAAUAUGAGUUGUGAAAUCUUGCUCUCCGCCAUCACAGAAAUGGGUAUGCAUACUGUACAUUAUUCUGUACACUGCUGCUUUAGAUGGUAGGUUGUCAUUUCUUCUUGUAGCUGCCCUUUGAUAGCUCUCAUUGCAAAGACAUUCCCAGCAUGGGCAUCUGUCGAUUUCAUUAUCAUUCUUGCUAGGUCUGGGCAUGUGUAUUGAUCCCAGCUUUGAGAAUCUUAAAAUGUUCCUGUGAUUGUUCUUGUUCAAGUACUUUUGUGAGUGUGUGCACUCAUUUCUCUUCCACAUACACUUAGAAGUGGAAUUCCAAAGGCACAGGCUAAGAUUGUUCUAUAUUAGCAAGAGGCAGGUGGGUUUUUCCAGGAGUUUCCACCAUUUCAUAUGGCAGCAGCAAUGUGUGAGUUCCAGAUACUUCAUACUCCAGUCAGCACUGGGCAUUGAGAAUCUAUCGGCAUCACCCUGUGAAGUAGUGUUACACUGUGUUUUGUUUUCAUUUCUCUGAUAGCUUGUGAGAUUGAGAAUGUGAUCAUCAGCGUAAUGACCACAUGGCUAUCUU